CCUACGGGAGGCAGCAGUGGGGAAUAUUGGACAAUGGACCACAAGUCUGAUCCAGCAAUUCUGUGUGCACGAUGACGUUUUUCGGAAUGUAAAGUGCUUUCAGUCGGGAAGAAGUCAGUGACGGUACCGACAGAAGAAGCGACGGCUAAAUACGUGCCAGCAGCCGCGGUAAUACGUAUGUCGCAAGCGUUAUCCGGAUUUAUUGGGCGUAAAGCGCGUCUAGGCGGCAAGGAAAGUCUGAUGUGAAAAUGCGGAGCUCAACUCCGUAUGGCGUUGGAAACUGCCUUACUAGAGUACUGGAGAGGUAGGCGGAACUACAAGUGUAGAGGUGAAAUUCGUAGAUAUUUGUAGGAAUGCCGAUGGGGAAGCCAGCCUACUGGACAGAUACUGACGCUAAAGCGCGAAAGCGUG
rnacentral:rRNA from 1 species